rnacentral:rRNA from 1 species
GAUGAACGCUAGCUACAGGCUUAACACAUGCAAGUCGAGGGACCGGCGCACGGGUGAGUAACACGUAUCCAACCUGCCCUUUACUCGGGGAUAGCCUUUCGAAAGAAAGGUUAAUACCCGAUAUAAAGUAUGGGGAUGCGUUCCACUAGGUUGUUGGUGAGGUAACGGCUCACCAAGCCUUUGAUGGAUAGGGUUUCUGAGAGGAAGGUCCCCCACAUUGGCAGUGAGAAGCGUUCCAUACUCCUAGUGGAGGCAGUAGGGAGGAAUAUUGGUCAAUGUGCGCUAGCCUUAACCAGCCAAGUAGCGUGAAGGAUGAAGGCUUAUGGGUCGUAAACUUCUUUUAUAUAGGAAUAUGUGUUAUAUGAAUAAGGAUCGGCUUACUCGGUGCCAGCCGCCGCGGUAAUAC